ensembl:lncRNA
GUAAAUUAUAUUUUCUGCUGUAUUUAGAAAAAGGGACGACCACUUUAUUUGAAUAAAUAAAUAAACAAAAUGCAGGUAUACGGAGGAACCUCAAAUGUCCCAGUUUUACACUAGGACAUGAACACAGCUCAAGUUUGCGGAUCUCGGCGAAGCUGGCAGUGUGAAGUUUGUCUCAAAAUUAUACAUAUUAUACACAUUUGUAAAUCAUACCGUACGUGCACUUGCCCUUUUUUAGGUUUCUCUCCAUAUAUAAAUAGCGACUGUAAAUGUCAGUUUAAAUCGUCUUACCUGUAAAACUUGCCGUCUUUACCGGAAGUCAAUGUACACACCUUAACGACUGGGCGUGUUUAUUUUUUCCAGUGUAACUGAAAAGUUAAGUUUCAUUUUCCUGUUCUGGAACAUCAUCUGCUAUCUAGUCGGCGACACAGAUUAAAAUUACAAAAUGGAAGAAGGAAGAACUAGCCUGAAGAAAAGAAAGAGAGUCACGGAUGAGAAAGAUGACAAGAACCUCUGGCGUGUAAAAUGUGGAGACAAAAAGGGUUGGAUGGAUGUAGAGAAGUUGGGAAAAGGUAAGGAUUGUAUUGAGUUUGAAGGCUCCUUUUACAGUCCACCUGAGUUUGAGAAGCUUGCAGGAAAAGAUUCAUGUAGAAAAUGGAAGUCAUCUAUUUACCACAAGAAAGCUCCUCUGCACUAUUGGUUCAAGAGAGGUUACCUAACCACUACAGGAUAUAGACAAAAAAAAAGAAAACGACAAUCAUCAGACCUUGAGUCCCAGGACCUCUUAACAGUCCUGUUCAAUAAAUACUCACCUGCAUCAGAGCUGCUGCAUUUUGGGUCCCAUCUUCAACUCCACACGUCCGCCACCCCGGACACGACAGAAAAUGAGGAUGGAGAAGAGGAUGAUGAGGAUAUGGAUGAAGAUGAUGUAUGGGCAGAUAAAUGGGAAGAUAAAGAAGCUACACAGAUUUCUAUCUCUUCUUCUGAAGAAGAGAGUGCGGAAGAUCAUGUUAAAGAUAUAGAUGACGAUGGAGAAGAGGAAGAUGAGGAUAUAGAUGCAGUUGAUGUCAGUAACGAUGAGCCUAGCACUGAGGAAGAUGAGGAUGAAGAAGAUGAUAAUGAUGAGGAUGAGACUGUGCCUGCUGUUGCCUCUAACCAUACUGGCAGCAGUGGUAUCAAAGCAAGUGUAACACCUAUGAUGAAAGAAGUAAAGGGUAUUGUUAACAUCCCUCCUGAGAAGAGUACACAUCAUCCUGACAUGCCAAGAUCUGAAGUCAGUGGAAAUAACAGAGAUGUGGCACAAAACACAGCAAUCAAACAGCUGAAUGUUAAGAAACAACCUGAAGAGAAACUGAAGAAGACAACAACAAGCACAAUUUCAAUACCUGGGAAACUUGCCCCGAAGAUUAAAGAAGCUUAUGGUAUCGUUAAUAGCCUUCCUGAGAAGACUAGACAUCAUCCUGACACGACAAGAUCUGAAGUCAGUGGAAAUAACAGAGAUGUGGCAACAAACACAGCAAUCAAACAGCUGAAUGUUAAGAAAGAACCCCAAGAGGAACUGAAACACAAGGAAGAUCGUGUUAAAGAUCAAGAUGAAGAACAAGAAGAUGAGCACAUGGAUGAAGAUGUUGUUGGUGAUGAUGAGCCUAGCACUGAGGAAGAUGAGGAUGAAGAAAGUGAUAAUGAUGAGGAAGAGACUGUGCCUGCUGUUGCCUCUAACCAUACUGGCAGCAAUGGUAUCAAAGACAGAGUAACAAGUGCAAUUCCAACACCUGGAAAACAUGCAUUACAGAUGAAAGAAGUAAAGGGUAUGGUUAACAUCCCUCCUGAGAAGAGUACACAUCAUCCUGACAUGCCAAGAUCUGAAGUCAGUGGAAAUAACAGAGAUGUGUCACAAAACACAGCAAUCAAACAGCUGAAUGUUAAGAAAGAACCUGAAGAGAAACUGAAGAAGACAACAACCAGCACAAUUUCAACACCUGGGAAACCUGCAGUGAAUAUCAAAGAAGUAAAGGGUGUCGUUAAUAGCCUUCCUGAGAAAGCUAGAGAUCAUCCUGACACGACAAGAUCUGAAGUCAAUGGAAAUUCCAGAGAUGUUGCAAAAAACACAGCAAUCAAACAGCAAAAUGUUAAGAAAGAACCCAACAAGGAACUCAAUGACCAUCAACAUACAGAGGUGCACUUCUCUGGCCACAGUGUAACUGAAGUACAAUCCAUGAGACCAGAGAUGAGUGCGGACAUGUCAGAGGCCCCAUCACCUGGGCCCUCAGCCAGCUCUGGUUUGGAUCUUGAUCAACUGAAGAGGGAAAAAGUAAAAAUGGAACUAAAGGUUUUAAAAUUAAAAGAAUACUAUUAUGCUUUGAAAAUAAAAGAACUUAAAAAAUGAGGAUUAAUGCUUCUGUAAAGCUGACAUUGCAGAGAAUAAAUUAAAUGAUCGCUGUGUUUACAUCCACAAACUGACACACAUUAUCUGGAGGUUUCUUGGGUGGAAUGUUGCUUUUGAGAAAAGCUGCAAAGUCAAGUGUGCUGCAUUUAAGAUAAGAUAAGAUAGAACUUUAUUAAUCCCUCGGGUGGGUUCCUCUGGGAAAUUCGAUUUCCAAAAAGCACAGCACCGACAGAAGUUACAGUUACAGAAUAUUAUAUAUAUAUAUAUAUAUACACACACACACACACACACACAUACACACACAUAUAUAAAUACAGAGACAAAUAUAAAUAAAAUAUACGAAGGGGAUAAAUAGAAUAAAUAGGAAUAAAAAAUAAAAAUACAAGUGAAUUACACAUUUCACGUAUUAAAAAUACAAGUGAAUUUAUAAUUUAUAAUUUAUACACCGUACUUUUUCUUUGCUAUACUCAGGUUUCCUUUAGUAUUGUUGAUUACAGUGUUUUACUUUGUUUCUGUGAUGGAAUAGAUAGAUGGUAUUUUCUUCUGUAAAAUGUGAAUAAACAAUAUUGAUGCUUUUUAUCUGUAAAUUGCGCUAAAUGUUAUGAAACUGUGUUUCCUUUAGACUUUGCCCAAGCUGCAGUAAUCAUUGUAAGACAUAGCCUGUAAACAGCAUCAUGCAAUGUCUUGAACCACUGCUCAUUUCUUUAUAUUUUGCAUAAGGAGCAAGAGAUUUUAGAAAUUUGUAAGACAAAAGCAAUAGAUUAGACAAAAAUAUUUUCAUGGAAAUUUGUUCAACCAUAAUGAGAAAAUACAAAAUGAAAAAAGGAGAGUUUCAGUGCUGUGUGUGUUAUCUUUGGCAUUUUUCUUUUUUUUUUUAUUCAAAACCUAAAUAUAGUUAGGUAUAUAUAGACUAGAUUCAAUUGAUUUAUGUGAAAUAACUAAAGAAGAAAAAGUUAUCAGGCUAUAUUUAAUUAUCCUAUAGGCUCUAAUUCUUAAUUGACAUUCAGGUCCACACUCCAUGCCAGUUGGUGGCAUUAAUGAACCAACUAGCUUUUUGACAACCACGGACAAACACCAAGAAGGUUUUUUUUUUCUUGGGGGAAAAAGGUCAACUUAAAAAAAUCUCUCAUGUCUUUUGAAGAGUAAACUUUAAAAGUAAUUACUGGGUUUUAUCUCACUUAUUUGUGCAGCGAUACAAAUGUUCCAAUAUCUUUUUUUUUUCUUCUUUUUUUGUUGCCUGACCCGUCUGGUUCUUUAGCCAUCAGAAUUAUUGUUUGAAGGCCAAGAAAGAUGCCCAACGGAUUUACUUUACCAAGUGGAUCAUCACAGCCUUGCUAUAUUGGUCCAUUCAAGGGGCAAUCCUCAAGAGUUGGCAGUUCGUCCUGUAAUCGGAAGGUUGCCGGUUCGAGCCCCGGCUCCGACAGUCUCGGUUGUUGUGUCCUUGGGCAAGACACUUCACCCGUUGCCUACUGGUGGUGGUCAGAGGACCCAGUGGCGCCAGUGUCCGGCAGCCUCGCCUCUGUCGCCCCAGGGCAGCUGUGGCUACAAUGUAGCUUGCCAUCACCAGUGUGUGAAUGGGUGGAAGACUGAAUUUAGUGUAAAGCGCUUUGGGGUCCUUAGGGACUAGUAAAAGCACUAUACAAAUACAGGCCACUGACCUUUGUUAUUAUUAUUUAUUUAUUCUAUUUUCAGUUUUUACAGACAGGACAGACAUGACUGGGGGGCAGGAAAGGGAGAAGGAAAGAAAGAGAGGGAGGGAAAGAAAAACAGGGGAAGAGGGACAGUGAGAAAGUGCACUUAAAAAAAUCACCUGGAUCACCUGUCAGGUUCCUCCGCCCGCUGAUAUGUAGUGUUGCUGCAUGCUGUUCUAAAGUGCAUUUAAAACACGGGAGGGCAUGGUGCUUCCUGCCAGAGAGCAGCAGGUGUCAGCACAGCCCUUCCCAAGAAACCUCAAUGUUUACAUGUAUUUAAAAUUGAGAGGUGGGCACCGGCGCCAGAGGUGAGGUUGAAUACACAGACUGUCCUCUGGAUGGCGUAUAAUAUGCCCACCCCCAAGGCCCUACAUGUAUGUGUUAUGAGAGUGUGAGUAAUGUGGAUGUCUAGGUUGUGGAAUAAAAUUGAGGCACAGGUGGCCAGAAGGAGACACAGGGGAAUCCAACACUGGCAUGAUGUGUUUUUUUUUUCUUUCUUUUGCUUGAAUGAUUCAUAGUCAGUUAUAAGUGGCCUAAUAAUCUAAAAAAAUUAAAAGACUUAGAAAGACCUUAAGGAAUCCCAGAGAAAAAAAGACAUGCAACUUUUGCACAGUACUGUGUGGUCAGCUACAGAAGGACUGGACUGAUAAGAGUGAAAUCACGGAGAACAGGCUCAAGGCUAAGAUUUAAAAGAAAAAAAAAGAAAAGAAAAUCUGCCUCCUUAGAACCAAAACAUGAAAAAUGACACGUGACUCAAGAUUUUUGCACAGUACUGCAAUUGUGCACAUUGUACACAUGUGCAAUUUUAAAAUUAACUGUAAUUUUAUUAGGUUCUUAGUACUAUGACUUCACAAUAACAUGUAUAAAUGUCAGUGGCUGUAAUGUGAUAUGGAGAAAUAAAAGAAACAAAAUAAAUUUUGAGAAUAAUUUAUUUUAACUUAAUCAGAACGCAGCUGUUAUUGAUUGUGAGGCUUUAUCUGUCUUUCUAAUGCGCAUGUGAGAUAAACAGACCUUGACAAUGAAGCUAAGGCUGAC